UACGGGGGGGGCAAGCGUUGUUCGGAAUUACUGGGCGUAAGGGGCUCGUAGGUGGCCAACUAAGUCAGACGUGAAAUCCCUCGGCUUAACCGGGGAACUGCGUCUGAUACUGGAUGGCUUGAGUUUGGGAGAGGGACGCGGAAUUCCAGGUGUAGCGGUGAAAUGCGUAGAUAUCUGGAGGAACACCGGUGGCGAAGGCGGCGUCCUGGACCAACACUGACACUGAGGAGCGAAAGCCAGGGGAGCAAACGGG
rnacentral:rRNA from 1 species